rnacentral:rRNA from 1 species
GGUCAAGCGAACAAGUGCAUGUGGUGGAUGCCUUGGCGAUCACAGGCGAUGAAGGACGCGGUAGCCUGCGAAAAGCCCCGGGGAGCUGGCAAACAAGCUUUGAUCCGGGGAUGUCCGAAUGGGGAAACCCACUCCGUAUGGAGUAUCCAUGACUGAAUACAUAGGUCAUGUGAAGCGAACGCGGUGAACUGAAACAUCUAAGUAACCGCAGGAAAAGAAAUCAACCGAGAUUCCCAAAGUAGUGGCGAGCGAAAUGGGAUGAGCCUUGUACUCUUUAUUCGUAUUGUUAGCCGAACGCUCUGGAAAGUGCGGCCAUAGCAGGUGAUAGCCCUGUAGGCGAAAACAGUAUGAAAGAACUAGGUGUACGACAAGUAGGGCGGGACACGUGAAAUCCUGUCUGAAGAUGGGGGGACCAUCCUCCAAGGCUAAAUACUCGUGAUCGACCGAUAGUGAACCAGUACCGUGAGGGAAAGGCGAAAAGAACCCCGGGAGGGGAGUGAAAUAGAUCCUGAAACCGCAUGCAUACAAACAGUCGGAGCCUCGUAAGGGGUGACGGCGUACCUUUUGUAUAAUGGGUCAGCGACUUACGUUCAGUAGCAAGCUUAACCGUAUAGGGCAGGCGUAGCGAAAGCGAGUCCGAAUAGGGCGUUCAGUUGCUGGGCGUAGACCCGAAACCAGGUGAUCUAUCCAUGGCCAGGAUGAAGGUGCGGUAACACGUACUGGAGGUCCGAACCCACUAACGUUGAAAAGUUAGGGGAUGAGCUGUGGAUAGGGGUGAAAGGCUAAACAAACCUGGAAAUAGCUGGUUCUCUCCGAAAACUAUUUAGGUAGUGCCUCGUGUCUCACCUUCGGGGGUAGAGCACUGUCAUGGUUGGGGGGUCUAUUGCAGAUUACCCCGCCAUAGCAAACUCCGAAUACCGAAGAGUGCAAUCACGGGAGACAGACAUCGGGUGCUAACGUCCGGUGUCAAGAGGGAAACAACCCAGACCGCCAGCUAAGGUCCCCAAAUAUGGCUAAGUGGGAAACGAAGUGGGAAGGCUAAAACAGUCAGGAGGUUGGCUUAGAAGCAGCCACCCUUUAAAGAAAGCGUAAUAGCUCACUGAUCGAGUCGUCCUGCGCGGAAGAUGUAACGGGGCUAAGCCAUAUACCGAAGCUGCGGAUGCGUGCUUGCACGCAUGGUAGGAGAGCGUUCCGUAAGCCUGCGAAGGUGCCUUGUAAAGGGUGCUGGAGGUAUCGGAAGUGCGAAUGCUGACAUGAGUAGCGAUAAAGGGGGUGAAAGGCCCCCUCGCCGUAAGCCCAAGGUUUCCUACGCAACGUUCAUCGGCGUAGGGUGAGUCGGCCCCUAAGGCGAGGCAGAAAUGCGUAGCUGAUGGGAAGCAGGUCAAUAUUCCUGCACCGUCGUUAGAUGCGAUGGGGGGACGGAUCGCGGAAGGUUGUCCGGGUGUUGGACGUCCCGGUCGCUGCAUUGGAGAAGGCGCUUAGGCAAAUCCGGGCGCGGAAUUCAAGGGUGUGGCGCGAGCGACUUCGGUCGCGAAGCAAUUGGAAGUGGUUCCAAGAAAAGCAUCUAAGCUUCAGUCUAACGAUGACCGUACCGCAAACCGACACAGGUGGGCGAGAUGAGUAUUCUAAGGCGCUUGAGAGAACUCGGGAGAAGGAACUCGGCAAAUUGGUACCGUAACUUCGGGAUAAGGUACGCCCUUGUAGCUUGACCAGCCUGCGCUGGAAGGGUGAAGGGGUUGCAAUAAACUGGUGGCUGCGACUGUUUAAUAAAAACACAGCACUCUGCAAACACGAAAGUGGACGUAUAGGGUGUGACGCCUGCCCGGUGCCGGAAGAUUAAAUGAUGGGGUGCAAGCUCUUGAUUGAAGUCCCGGUAAACGGCGGCCGUAACUAUAACGGUCCUAAGGUAGCGAAAUUCCUUGUCGGGUAAGUUCCGACCUGCACGAAUGGCGUAACGAUGGCCACACUGUCUCCUCCCGAGACUCAGCGAAGUUGAAGUGUUUGUGAUGAUGCAAUCUACCCGCGGCUAGACGGAGAGACCCCAUGAACCUUUACUGUAGCUUUGCAUUGGACUUUGAACCGAUCUGUGUAGGAUAGGUGGGAGGCUAUGAAACCGGAACGCUAGUUUCGGUGGAGCCGUCCUUGAAAUACCACCCUGGUUUGUUUGAGGUUCUAACCUUGGUCCGUGAUCCGGAUCGGGGACAGUGCAUGGUAGGCAGUUUGACUGGGGCGGUCUCCUCCCAAAGGGUAACGGAGGAGUACGAAGGUACGCUAGGUACGGUCGGAAAUCGUGCUGAUAGUGCAAUGGCAUAAGCGUGCUUAACUGCGAGACCGACAAGUCGAGCAGGUGCGAAAGCAGGUCAUAGUGAUCCGGUGGUUCUGUAUGGAAGGGCCAUCGCUCAACGGAUAAAAGGUACUCUGGGGAUAACAGGCUGAUACCGCCCAAGAGUUCAUAUCGACGGCGGUGUUUGGCACCUCGAUGUCGGCUCAUCUCAUCCUGGGGCUGUAGCCGGUCCCAAGGGUAUGGCUGUUCGCCAUUUAAAGAGGUACGUGAGCUGGGUUUAAAACGUCGUGAGACAGUUUGGUCCCUAUCUGCCGUGGGCGUUGGAUAUUUGAAGGGGGCUGCUCCUAGUACGAGAGGACCGGAGUGGACGAACCUCUGGUGUACCGGUUGUGACGCCAGUCGCAUCGCCGGGUAGCUAUGUUCGGAAGAGAUAACCGCUGAAAGCAUCUAAGCGGGAAACUCGCCUUAAGAUGAGAUAUCCCUGGAGGCUUGACCUCCUUGAAGGGUCGUUCGAGACCAGGACGUUGAUAGGUCGGGUGUGUAAGCGCAGUAAUGCGUUCAGCUAACCGAUACUAAUUGCCCGUAAGGCUUGAUCCU